GUGAAACUGGUAGCGGCCGUCAACGCUGUGUUGCGUGACCACGACGGAGCGCUGCUGAAAGUACCUGCACCUGUCGAACCGCAGGAGCCUCUCGCCGAGCCUGGACAAAUAUGUUUACAAAUUCAACUCGUAGGCCAGUCAGAGCGCAACCGCUGUCGUCGGUGGCAGCGCAGGCGCAGACGCGGCUGCGCGCGCUGGCCUUGCCCUGCUACUCGCUGAACCGGCUCCCGAGAACCGUCACUUAUCGUCUGCACUCGAACUGUAUCCGCACUUCGAUGUUCUCGCUCGGCUAGGCGUGUGCGGCACUAUGCGAGGCCAAAGGCUGGGAAAACGCCGUGGUACUGCACGAGGGAAGUGCGCGCGUGGCUCCGCGCCUGGCUCCCGACACCGACGCGCUGGCGUUGCGGGCACGGCAACU